UACGAAGGGGGCUAGCGUUGCUCGGAAUGACUGGGCGUAAAGGGCGCGUAGGCGGAUGGCACAGUCAGAUGUGAAAUUCCCGGGCUUAACCUGGGGGCUGCAUUUGAUACGUGUUGUCUAGAGUGAGGAAGAGGGUUGUGGAAUUCCCAGUGUAGAGGUGAAAUUCGUAGAUAUUGGGAAGAACACCGGUGGCGAGGGCGGCAACCUGGUCCUUGACUGACGCUGAGGCGCGAAAGCGUGGGGAGCAAACAGG
rnacentral:rRNA from 1 species